GAUUCUGACCCCUUCUCCAGCAACUCCGAUGAUGAAGAUGAAACGCCUUCAACUCCAGAUCCUUCGUCGCUGUCACCCCACCUGAGUUCUGAUAGACCUCUGUAUGAGUUGCCUUCACUAAUGGAGCAGCUACCUAUCAAGAGAGGGCUGUCCAAGUACUACCAAGGCAAGUCACAAUCAUAUACAUCGCUCUCUGUGGUUAGCAGCAUUGAAGAUCUGCCCAAGAAAGAGACUGCUUACAGAAGGAAGAUGAAGGCAUGCAGGAGCUAUGCUGGCGGAAUGGAUGCAAGCCAUAAGUCUGCUCAUUCUCCUGGGCAUUGCAGCAAAACCAUAUCGAAGAAGGUUGUUCCCAGGGUUACUUCUUGUGCUUCUUUGAUGUCCAAAAGCAGCAGCAGUAGCCUUCUUUGUAGCAGCAAACCACCUCGCAUUCCUGUACAUAAAAAUCCAUGUCCACAUUAAAAUCCUUCAGAUUAGAGCAAUUUUUGUGUUUUGUUUUCCGUGUCUCUUGUGGUUAUCAGGGUUACGUCUUGUACUUUGAUGACAAAAAAACAGCAGUAGUAGCCUUUUUUUGUUUUUUGGAGCAAACCACCUCUAAUUCCUGUGCAUAAAAGUUCAUGUCCUCAUAAAAUCCCUUGCCAUGUAAUGUUUCAGUUCAGAGCAAUUUUGCGUUAUGUUUUCCAUGUC